rnacentral:rRNA from 1 species
GGCUGAGUAACACGUGGGAACCUGCCCCCCGGUGGGGGAUAACGCGACGAAAGUCGCGCUAAUCCCGCAUACGUCCUCGCGGGGAAAGCGCCUCGGCGCGCCGGGGGAGGGGCCUGCGGCCCAUCAGGUCGUUGGUGGGGUAAUGGCCUACCAAGCCGAUGACGGGUAGCUGGUCUGGGAGGAUGACCAGCCAGACUGGGACUGAGACACGGCCCAGACUCCUACGGGAGGCAGCAGCAAGGAAUUUUCGGCAAUGGGCGCAAGCCUGACCGAGCAACGCCGCGUGCGGGAUGACGGCCUUCGGGUUGUAAACCGCUUUUCGGGGGGACGACAUGCGACGGUACCCCCGGAAUAAGCCCCGGCUAACUCUGUGCCAGCAGCCGCGGUAAGACAGAGGGGGCCAGCGUUGUCCGGAGUUACUGGGCGUAAAGCGCGCGCAGGCGGCAGCCUAAGUGUCGUGUGAAAGCCCCCGGCUCAACCGGGGGAGGCCAUGGCAAACUGGGCCACUCGAGCCGCACCGAGGCCCCUCGAAUUGCCGGUGUAGCGGUGAAAUGCGUAGAGAUCGGCAGGAAGACCAAGGGGGAAGCCAGGGGGCUGGCUGCGCGCUGACGCUGA